rnacentral:rRNA from 1 species
CAAAGGAAUUGACGGGGAGCACCACAACGGGUGGAGCUUGCGGUUUAAUUGGAUUCAACGCCGGAAAUCUUACCGGGACCGACAGCAAUAUGAAGGCCAGGCUGAAGACUUUGCCGGAUUAGCUGAGAGGUGGUGCAUGGCCGUCGUCAGUUCGUACUGUGAAGCAUCCUGUUAAGUCAGGCAACGAGCGAGACCCACGCCCACAGUUGCCAGCGUACUCUCUGGAGUGACGGGUACACUGUGGGGACCGCCGCUGCUAAAGAGGAGGAAGGAAUGGGCAACGGUAGGUCAGCAUGCCCCGAAUUAUCUGGGCUACACGCGGGCUACAAUGGGUGGGACAAUGGGUAUCGACACCGAAAGGUGAAGGCAAUCUCCUAAACCCAUCCGUAGUUCGGAUUGUGGGCUGCAACUCGCCCACAUGAAGCUGGAAUCUGUAGUAAUCGUGUCUCAAAAUGGCACGGUGAAUAUGUCCCUGCUCCUU